rnacentral:rRNA from 1 species
AGGUGGGAAUCCUUCCGGCCGAAUAUCUAAGGUUUCCAGAGUAAAGCUGAUCUGCUCUGGGUAAGUCGGGGCCUAAGGCGAGGUCGAAAGACGUAGUCGAUGGAUAACAGGUUGAAAUUCCUGUACUAUCCUGUAACAGAACUGUGGGGACACAGGCAGAGAGCGUGAGCCGGGAAUGGAAAGACCGGUACAAGCGAGGUAGGAGAAGAGUUGGCAAAUCCGCUCUUUAAUCUGAAGACGUGAUGUGGACUGAAAAUAAGUAGGGAAGCACGUGAGCUGACUGUCAAGAAAAGCCGCUAUUGUUUGCAGGAUACCCGUACCGUAAACCGACACAGGUGGAUGAGGAGAGAAUCCUAAGGCCGACGGGAGAAGCAUUGUUAAGGAACUCGGCAAAAUGACUCCGUAACUUCGGGAGAAGGAGUGCCAGUAAGAUGGCCGCAGAGAAUUGGCCCAAGCAACUGUUUAGCAAAAACACAGGUCUAUGCAAAACCGAAAGGUGUGGUAUAUGGGCUGACGCCUGCCCGGUGCUGGAAGGUUAAGGGGAGAGGUUAGCGCAAGCGAAGCUUUGAACUUAAGCCCCAGUAAACGGCGGCCGUAACAAUAACGGUCCUAAGGUAGCGAAAUUCCUUGUCGGGUAAGUUCCGACCCGCACGAAAGGCGAAUGAUUUGGGCACUGUCUCAACAGUGCACCCGGUGAAAUUGAAAUACCAGUGAAGAUGCUGGUUACCUGCGCCAGGACGGAAAGACCCCAUGGAGCUUUACUCCAGCUUGAUACUGGGAUUCGGUAUUGCAUGUACAGGGUAGGUGGGAGGCUAGGAAAUGGUAACGCCAGUUGCCAUGGAGCCAAUGUUGGGAUACCACCCUUGCAGUACUGGGUUUCUAACCAGCAGCCGUGAUCCGGCCGGGGGACAAUGUCAGGUGGGGAGUUUGACUGGGGCGGUCGCCUCCGAAAGGGUAUCGGAGGCGCUCAAAGGUUCCCUCAGAAUGGUUGGAAACCAUUCGAAGAGUGCAAAGGCAGAAGGGAGCUUGACUGCGACACCGACGGGUGGAGCAGGUACGAAAGUAGGACUUAGUGAUCCGGUGGUAUAAAGUGGGAUUGCCAUCGCUCAACGGAUAAAAGCUACCCUGGGAUAACAGGCUUAUCACUCCCAAGAGUUCACAUCGACGGAGUGGUUUGGCACCUCGAUGUCGGCUCAUCGCAUCCUGGGGCUGAAGUAGGUCCCAAGGGUUGGGCUGUUCGCCCAUUAAAGCGGUACGCGAGCUGGGUCCAGAACGUCGUGAGACAGUUCGGUCCCUAUCCGGCGUGGGCGUAAGAUAUUUGAGAGGAGCUGUCCUUAGUACGAGAGGACCGGGAUGGACUGGCCGCUGGUGUAUCUGUUGUCUUACCAAAGGCAUAGCAGAGUAGCCAAGCCGGGAAGGGAUAAACGCUGAGGGCAUCUAAGCGUGAAGCCCCCCUCAAGAUGAGAUAUCUCAUAACGUCAAGUUAGUAAGACCCCUUGAAGACGACGAGGUAGAUAGGGCAGAGGUGGAAGUGUGGUAACACAUGGAGCUGACUGUUACUAAUAGGUCGAGGGCAUAACCU